AUUGAACGCUGGCGGCAGGCCUAACACAUGCAAGUCGAGCGGAUGAAGGGAGCUUGCUCCUGGAUUCAGCGGCGGACGGGUGAGUAAUGCCUAGGAAUCUGCCUGGUAGUGGGGGAUAACGUCCGGAAACGGGCGCUAAUACCGCAUACGUCCUGAGGGAGAAAGUGGGGGAUCUUCGGACCUCACGCUAUCAGAUGAGCCUAGGUCGGAUUAGCUAGUUGGUGGGGUAAAGGCCUACCAAGGCGACGAUCCGUAACUGGUCUGAGAGGAUGAUCAGUCACACUGGAACUGGGACACGGUCCAGACUCCUAAGGGAAGCAGCAGUUGGGAAUAUUGGACAAUGGGCGGAAGCCUGAUCCAGCCAUGCCGCGUGUGUGAAGAAGGUCUUCGGAUUGGAAAGCACUUUAAGUUGGGAGGAAGGGCAGUAAGUUAAUACCUUGCUGUUUUGACGUUACCAACAGAAUAAGCACCGGCUAACUUCGUG
rnacentral:rRNA from 1 species